AUUGAACGCUGGCGGCAUGCCUUACACAUGCAAGUCGAACGGCAGCACGGGUGCUUGCCCCUGGUGGCGAGUGGCGAACGGGUGAGUAAUACAUCGGAACAUGUCCUGUAGUGGGGGAUAGCCCGGCGAAAGCCGGAUUAAUACCGCAUACGAUCUACGGAUGAAAGCGGGGGACCUUCGGGCCUCGCGCUAUAGGGUUGGCCGAUGGCUGAUUAGCUAGUUGGUGGGGUAAAGGCCUACCAAGGCGACGAUCAGUAGCUGGUCUGAGAGGACGACCAGCCACACUGGGACUGAGACACGGCCCAGACUCCUACGGGAGGCAGCAGUGGGGAAUUUUGGACAAUGGGCGAAAGCCUGAUCCAGCAAUGCCGCGUGUGUGAAGAAGGCCUUCGGGUUGUAAAGCACUUUUGUCCGGAAAGAAAUCCUUGGCCCUAAUACGGUCGGGGGAUGACGUUACCGGAAGAAUAAGCACCGGCUAACUACGUG
rnacentral:rRNA from 1 species